rnacentral:telomerase_RNA from 1 species
UAUUUGUGGGGAUCUCGGACUUAGUCGAGCCAAAGCUCGGCUGUCCUAACCUAACCUAACGCUAGCGAGGCGUGAAAACCUCGUAGUUACGGUUGUUUUACUUCCUUUUUUUGACCUUAAAAAUAAAGGAUUACCAUAUCCCCACCAACAUAAUCUCAUUU